CGCGGUAAUAACAGCUCCCAAUAGAGUUUUUUAAAGUUGUUAAGCUCGUAACGGGAUUUCUGUCUGUUACGCGCUUGAAGCCAUUAAUGACGGACGCGUGCAGGCAUUCUUCUACUCCUGGGGUAACUCAGUGCGGUAGAGCCUUUACUUUGAGAAAAUUAGAGUGUUUCAAGCAAGCAUCGCUUUGAAUAAUUCCACAUGGAAUAAUACAAUAGGAUUUUAGGUCUUUUUGUUGGUUUCAGGCUUGAAGUAAUGAUUAAUAGGGACAGUUGGGGGCAUUUGUAUUUAACAGUCAGAGGUGAAAUUCUAAGAUUUGUUAAAGACAAACUACUGCGAAAGCAUUUGCCAAGGAUGUUUUCAUUAAUCAAGAACGAAAGUUAGGGGAUCGAAGACGAUCAGAUACCGUCGUAGUCUUAACCAUAAACUAUGCCAACUAGAAAUCGCUGUGAG
rnacentral:rRNA from 1 species